UAGCUUGACCAAAGUCAAGAACGAAUCCCUUCAAAAUCCUUCCGUUGUGAGCUCCUAACGGAUAGCCAAUUUAAAUCUCUCUUUUCCCACAUUUUUCACAAUUACAGAUUACAGCUUUCUUCUUCGUUUUCUUGAAGUCCGUUUUAUAUUAGGAGGAGGAGAAGAGGCGUUCAUCUGUGACGAAGAGACAAGCAAUGGCCGCGAAUUCAUCAGACCGGAAAAUUGAAUGUUGGAGUGAAGUUGUGCGAACUCUGGACUCAUUUUUUGGCUUUGGAUUAAGAACAUUGCUGAAUGCAUUACUUGCACCAGUAAUGCAGUUUGUUGUUCUGCCAGCAUCCUCCUCUGACAAACAAACCAACAAAGCUGUUUCUGUUCAAAUAUUUGAGAUCACUGCCAUCUAUGUCUGACACAGUGGGAAGUCUUUGAUCUUUUCAGCAGAGAGUAGUCCUUGUUCUAGAAAUUCAUUUUAACUACAUCUAUUUACAAUUUAUAAAUUUUUAAAUUCUGCAGAAAAUAUAUGAUGUACUUGUGGACUUGGAAUCAACAGAUAAAGAUUGUCAACAUUGAUACAAAUACUUGUGAGCCUCAGAGGCAAGGAAAAAGGAAAGGCUUUCCACAUAUUCCAUCCAUCGGGCAUGCGCGCUAUAUAAUUUGACUAGCAUGUUGAGGUAAACUUCUAAUAUC